GCUCGGAUAGCUCAAUUGGUAGAGCAUGGCACUGAAGAUGCUAUUGUUAUAAGUUCAAGUCUUGUUUCGAGCA